UGGGAACAGCCAGGAUCCCCUCCGCACGGGAGAACAGCUCUAGACGCGCAGAGGGGCGGAGUCCAAACGGGUGCCAUCACCGACCUGUCUACAAGCAACAUUGUAACAUAUUUCUGAGCCCAUCACAUGGAUAAUGUGACCCUUCUCUUUUUGUCCUGCCCCAAGUGAAGAUUGUGACAUGUCACCAGGCCCUUUGUCUAGGCAAUAUGACUCUUCUCUCCUGUCUGGGCCCUGAUUACAAGGGGGAUUGUGACAAUCACUGGGCCCAUCAUGUAGAUAAUAAGAGUUUCUCUUCCUGCCUGGGCCUUUUCUACAGAAAAGAUUAAGACAUCACUGGGCCAAGCACCCACAUGAUGUCACUCGCCUGCCUGCAUUCUGCCUACAGUGGGUAUUGUGACAUAUCCCUGGCACAGAACCAAGGUAACGUGACUCACCUACCUGGUUCCUGCCCACUGAUGGGAUUGUGACAUAUACCUAGGUCCAGCUCACAGGCAUGAUGAUAACUGUCAUACGUGGACCCAGCCAAUAAGAGAUUUUUGCUCUUAGGCUUAUUACAACAGAGUCUCGCUCUGUCACUCAGGCUGGAGUGCAGUGGCAUGAUCUCAGCCCGCUGCAACCUUCGCCUUCCAGGUUCAAGCAGUUCUCCUGCCUCAGCUCUUGGACAAAACUUCAGCACUCCUGCUAGGGUGUGUCUGCCCUACUAAGACACUGUGCGCAGGUGGAGUUGAGGCUCUUAUGUAUGGAUCCUGUCCACUGUUGAGAUUGUGAAUUGCAUGUGUAGACUCAACUCACAGGAGGUGUUGACUCACAAACCUCCAGCUGGGACAUGUGCAGGAUUAGAAAUUUUAUUUCUGGAUCUUUCUUCAGGCCCAGCUUACAGAAGGCAUUGUGACAGAUCUCUGGGCUCAUUACCUAGGAGAUGUGACUCUACACUGCCGGUUGGGCCGAGCCCCACUGAAGAUUGUGACAUAUUACUGAGCCCAUAAACUAGAAGGCGUUGUAACAUCUCACUAAGCCCAGCACUCAGGCGAUGUGGCUUUCCUGCUAUGGCACUGCACACAAGAAGAAUGUUGACAUAUUCCUGGCCCAGAAUUCAGGUGGAGAUGGAGCUCUCAUGCACGGAUCCUGUCCGAUGUUAAGACUGUGUCUCGUGUAUUUGGAUGCAACUCACAAGAGGUGUUGACUCUCAGACCUAAAGCUGGGAAAUAUGUAGAAUUGUGAAAUUUAUUCCUGGUCCUUCCCGCAGGUGUGAUUGUGGCGUAUAUGUUCACACAGCACUUAAUUUAUUUUACAAUUUGUUUGAACUCAGCCAACUGUUGGGACUGUGACAUAUACCUGGACCAAGUUCCUAGGUGAUGUAACUCUCCAGCCUGGGCCUUACCACAGGGUACAUUGUGACAUAUCUUUGGACUUAUCACCUAUGUGAUGUGACUCUACUGACUUGCCUUGUCUUGGCCUCCAUUGGGGAUUGUGGCAUAUUUCUGUGCCCAGUACCUAAGUUAUGUGACUCUUCUUUCCUGCUUGUGCAUUUAGAAGGGAUUGUGACAUAUUGCUGGGCCAAGAACCUAGGUGAUGUGACUCUCCUGCCUUGGCCCUGCCUUCAGGAAAAAUUGUGAUGUGACUCUGGGUUUAUUACCUAGAUGAUGUGACUCUUGUGUUCUGCAUGGGCAAGCCCAAAGGGGUCAUUGUGGCAUAUCUCUGGGCACAUCAAAGAAGUGGUGUAAUUUUUCUCUCAUUCCAGGACUCUAGUCUCAGUAGGGAUUGUGACAUAUCACUGGGCCCAUAACCUAUGUCAUGUGAUUCUAGUAUCCUGCUUGGGCCCUGCUUACAGGAAAGAUUGUGACAUUUGGCUGGGCCCAUCACCUAGUUAAUGUGACUCUCCUUUUCUUCCUGUGCCCUGCCCUCAGUGGAGAUUGUGACAAAUUUCUGGGCCAAUCAGCUGUGCAAUAUGACUCUGCUCUUUCCUGGGCCCUGCUAUCGGGGAGCAUUGUGACAUAUUGCCAGGCUCAGCACCUAGGUAAUGUGACUCUUCUUGCUGCCUGGGCCCUACUUACAGAAGGGAUUUUGAUGUAUUGCUGAACCAAGAAUUCAGAUGAUGUGACUCUCCUGCCUGUGCGCUGUCUACAGUGGGCAUUGUGACAUAUCAUUGGUGAUGUGACUCUCCUGCCUUGUUCCUGCCCACAGGUGAAAUUGUGGCAUAUACCUGGGUCCAGAUCACAGGCACAAUGAUGACUCUCUUACCUGGACACAGCCAGUGGGAAAUAUUUUGACUUUUGUAGCCAGGCUUAGGGCCACAGGUGGUUUGGUGACUCUCAAACCAUGAUUCAGCAGACCUGUGAGGCUGUGAGUUCCCUAUCAGAACACAAUCUGCAGGUUGUAUUGUGCCAUAUACCUGGGACCAAAUUACAAGCACAAUGAUGAAUCUUUUACCUGGAGUCAAGACAUGGGCAGGAUGAUGGAACUUAUCACUGGACCUUUCCACAGUGUUAUUGUGACAUAUGCCUUUGCCCAACAUGUGGUGAUUUGACUCCCCAGACUGGGUCCAGUUCACAAAUAAAAUUGUGCCGUAUACUUGGCCAAGAACCUAA
rnacentral:lncRNA from 1 species